GAAUAUUGGUCAAUGGGCGCAAGCCUGAACCAGCCAUGCCGCGUGAAGGAUGAAGGCCUUCUGGGUUGUAAACUUCUUUUAUUGGGGAAGAAAAUUACGGUUUCUACUGUAACCGACGGUACCCAAGGAAUAAGCACCGGCUAACUCCGUGCCAGCAGCCGCGGUAAUACGGAGGGUGCAAGCGUUAUCCGGAUUCACUGGGUUUAAAGGGUGUGUAGGCGGGCUGUUAAGUCAGUGGUGAAAUCUCCGGGCUCAACCCGGAAACUGCCAUUGAUACUAUCAGUCUUGAAUCUUGUUGAGGUGGGCGGAAUAUGUCAUGUAGCGGUGAAAUGCUUAGAUAUGACAUAGAACACCGAUUGCGAAGGCAGCUCACUAAGCAAGUAUUGACGCUGAGGCACGAAAGCGUGGGGAUCAAA
rnacentral:rRNA from 1 species